rnacentral:rRNA from 1 species
AUUGAACGCUGGCGGCAGGCCUAACACAUGCAAGUCGAGCGGAUGAAGGGAGCUUGCUCCUGGAUUCAGCGGCGGACGGGUGAGUAAUGCCUAGGAAUCUGCCUGGUAGUGGGGGAUAACGUCCGGAAACGGGCGCUAAUACCGCAUACGUCCUGAGGGAGAAAGUGGGGGAUCUUCGGACCUCACGCUAUCAGAUGAGCCUAGGUCGGAUUAGCUAGUUGGUGGGGUAAAGGCCUACCAAGGCGACGAUCCGUAACUGGUCUGAGAGGAUGAUCAAUCACACUGGAACUGAGACACGGUCCAGACUCCUACGGGAGGCAGCAGUGGGGAAUAUUGGACAAUGGGCGAAAGCCUGAUCCAGCCAUGCCGCGUGUGUGAAGAAGGUCUUCGGAUUGUAAAGCACUUUAAGUUGGGAGGAAGGGCAGUAAGUUAAUACCUUGCUGUUUUGACGUUACCAACAGAAUAAGCACCGGCUAACUUCGUG